GACGAACGCUGGCGGCGUGCUUAACACAUGCAAGUCGAACGAAAAGAGGGAAAGAGCUUGCUCUUUCCGGAAUUGAGUGGCAAACGGGUGAGUAACACGUAAACAACCUGCCUUCAGGAUGGGGACAACAGACGGAAACGACUGCUAAUACCGAAUAAGUUCCAAGAGCUGCAUGGCCCAUGGAAGAAAAGGUGGCCUCUACCUGUAAGCUAUCGCCUGAAGAGGGGUUUGCGUCUGAUUAGCUGGAUGGAGGGGUAACGGCCCACCAAGGCGACGAUCAGUAGCCGGUCUGAGAGGAUGAACGGCCACACUGGAACGGAGACACGGUCCAGACUCCUACGAGAGGCAGCAGUGGGGAAUCUUCCGCAAUGGGCGAAAGCCUGACGGGGCAACGCCGCGUGAGUGAUGACGGCCUUCGGGUUGUAAAACUCUGUGAUCCGGGACGAAAAGGCAGAGUGCGAAGAACAAACUGCAUUGACGGUACCGGAAAAGCAAGCCACGGCUAACUACGUG
rnacentral:rRNA from 1 species